UAACGAUUGGGGGCCGUUGUCCGGUAUUAUUGGGCGUAAAGGGCUCGCAGGCGGUUUCUUAAGUCUGAUGUGAAAGCCCCCGGCUCAACCGGGGAGGGUCAUUGGAAACUGGGAAACUUGAGUGCAGAAGAGGAGAGUGGAAUUCCACGUGUAGCGGUGAAAUGCGUAGAGAUGUGGAGGAACACCAGUGGCGAAGGCGACUCUCUGGUCUGUAACUGACGCUGAGGAGCGAAAGCGUGGGGAGCGAACAGGAUUAGAUACCCUGGUAGUCCACGCCGUAAACGAUGAGUGCUAAGUGUUAGGGGGUUUCCGCCCCUUAGUGCUGCAGCUAACGCAUUAAGCACUCCGCCUGGGGAGUACGGUCGCAAGACUGAAACUCAAAGGAAUUGACGGGGGCCCGCACAAGCGGUGGAGCAUGUGGUUUAAUUCGAAGCAACGCGAAGAACCUUACCAGGUCUUGACAUCCUCUGACAACCCUAGAGAUAGGGCUUUCCCUUCGGGGACAGAGUGACAGGUGGUGCAUGGUUGUCGUCAGCUCGUGUCGUGAGAUGUUGGGUUAAGUCCCGCAACGAGCGCAACCCUUGAUCUUAGUUGCCAGCAUUCAGUUGGGCACUCUAAGGUGACUGCCGGUGACAAACCGGAGGAAGGUGGGGAUGACGUCAAAUCAUCAUGCCCCUUAUGACCUGGGCUACACACGUGCUACAAUGGACAGAACAAAGGGCUGCAAGACCGCAAGGUUUAGCCAAUCCCAUAAAUCUGUUCUCAGUUCGGAUCGCAGUCUGCAACUCGACUGCGUGAAGCUGGAAUCGCUAGUAUCGCGGAUCAGCAUGCCGCGGUUGAAUACGUUCCCGGGCCUUGUACACACCGCCCGUCACACCACGAGAGUUUGCAACCGAAAGUCGGUGAGGUAACCUUUUAUGGAGCCAGCCGCCGAAGUGGGGCAGAUUGAUUGGGGUGAAGUCGUACCAACAAGGUUAGCCGAGCAUUUCUAUUAGGGGUCACUUUAAAUAAGACCACCCCUGCCCUACCCCUCUCU
rnacentral:rRNA from 1 species